AGAAAUGGGAAUUUAAGAGAUGCCUUUUCUCACUUGGCAUUUCAGUUACUUCACAUUUAGUUAUCCAAAUCAGAAUCCUGAGCCUUUGUCUUCUCAAAUGUACACAAAGGAAAUACUGUCUUCCUAAGGUUCAAAGGGUUAGAAAUGAUAUAAUGCAAAAUUUAUUACAAAGCUAAAGUAAUCAAAAUAGUGUAGUACUGGCAUAAGGACAAACAUAUAGACCAAUGGAAUACAACAUCCAGAAAUAAACCCUCACAUAUGAUUUAGAACAAGAGCACCAAGAUCAUUCAGUGGAGAAAAGGCUAAGAAAACUGGAUAUCCAAAUACAAAUGAACAAAGCUGGACACUGACCUUUCACCAUAUACAAAACUCACAAUGGAUCAAAGACUAAGAGCUAAAACUAUAAAACUCUUAAAAGAGGAAAAUCUUCAUGACAUUGGGUUUGGCAAUCUUCUUGAAUAUGACACCAAUAGCAUAGCCAAAAGAAAAAAGACAGAUACACUAGACUUCACCAAAAUAAAAAAAAUUCUGUACAUCAAAGGACACUAUCAAGGGAAUCAAAAGAAAACCCAAAGAAUGGGAGAAAAUAUUUGCAAAUCAUGUAUCUGAUAAUGGAUUACUAACUAGAAUAAAGAAUGCCCACAACUCAACAAUAACAGAACCCAGUCAAAAAUGGGUGAAGGACUUGAAUACACAUACACAUUUCUCCACAGAAAAUACACAAAUGGCCAGCAAGUACAGAAAAAGAUGCUCAGCAUCACAAGCUGUUAGGGAAAUGCAAAUUAAAACCACAAUGAAAGGAGACAUCCAGUAAGACAGCUAUCAUAAGGAUACCCAUUAAUAUAGUUAUUUUAAAAAGAAGAAAAGAAAAUAACAAGUGUUACAGAGGAUACGGAAAAGCCAGAACGCUUGUUCAUUGGUGGCAGGAAUGUAAAAUAAUGAAGCUGCUAUGGAAAACAGUUUGGAGUCCCUCAAAAAAUUAAACAUAGAAUUAUCAUAUGAUGCAGUAAUUCUAUUCCUUCAUAUAUACCCAAAAUAACAGAAGGCAGAACUCAAUUAUAUACUUCUAUAAUAAUGUUCACUGCAGUAUUAUUCACAAUACCAAAAGUCUCCAUCAACAGAUGAAUGGAUAAACAAAAUGUGGCACAUACAUACAAUAUUAUUCAGCCAUAAAUAGGAAUGAAAUUCUGAUAUAUGCUAUCACAUGAACCUUGAAAAUAAUGUGUGAUUCCACAGGUGCCAUGAGGCACCUAAAAUAGACAAAUUCAAAAAGAGAAAGUAGAAUAGAGGUUGCUAGGGGUUAAGAAGAAGAGAAAUGCAUUACUUUAAUUGCACACA
rnacentral:lncRNA from 1 species